rnacentral:rRNA from 1 species
UGGCUCAGAACGAACGCUGGCGGCGUGCUAAUACAUGCAAGUCGUGCGAGAAAGUCCGCUUCGGUGGAGCGAGUAAGCGGCAACGGGUGAGUAACACGUAAGUAACUUUCCUCUAAGUUGGGAAUACCCCUGCCAACGCGGGGUUAAUACCGAAUGUGGUCAGAAAGUCGCAUGGUUUUCUGACUAAAGGUGGCUUCGGCUACCGCUUAGAGAUGGGCUUGCGCACCAUUAGCUUGUUGGUGGGGUAAUGGCCUACCAAGGCUUUGAUGGUUAGCCGACCUGAGAGGGUGAUCGGCCACAUUGGGACUGAGAUACGGCCCAGACUCCUACGGGAGGCAGCAGUAGGGAAUUUUGCGCAAUGGACGAAAGUCUGACGCAGCAACGCCGCGUGAGGGAUGAAGGGUUUCGGCUCGUAAACCUCUGUUGAGUAGGAAGAAACGUCAUGGGGUUAAUACCCUCAUGGCCUGACGGUACUACUCGAGGAAGCUCCGGCUAACUACGUGCCAGCAGCCGCGGUAAUACGUAGGGGGCGAGCGUUGUUCGGAAUCACUGGGCGUAAAGGGAGCGUANGCGGGAAGGUAAGUCAGAAGUCUAACACAUGGGCUUAACCCAUGUCCGGCUUUUGAUACUGCUUUUCUUGAGUAUGGGAGAGGAAGAUGGAAUUCCAGGUGUAGCGGUGGAAUGCGUAGAUAUCUGGAAGAACACCAGUUGCGAAGCCGGUCUUUUUGGCCCUAUACUGACGCUGAGGCUUGUAAGCUUAGGGGAGCAUACAGGAUUAGAUACCCUGGUAGUCCUAGCCAUAAACGAUGGACACUAGUUGGUGUUGGGAGUCAAUCUGUUCACUGACGAAGUUAACGCAUUAAGUGUCCCGCCUGGGGAGUACGCCCGCAAGGGUGAAACUCAAAGGAAUUGACGGGGGCCCGCACAAGCGGUGGAGCAUGUGCUUUAAUUCGAUGCAACGCGAAGAACCUUACCUGGGUUUGACAUGGGGAUGAAACUCUCCAGAGAUGGAGAGCCUUCCUUCGGGAACAUCCUACACAGGUGCUGCAUGGUUGUCGUCAGCUCGUGUCGUGAGAUGUUGGGUUAAGUCCCGCAACGAGCGCAACCCUCGUCCCUAGUUGCCAUCAGGUAAUGCUGGGAACUCUAGGGAGACUGCCUGGUCACAACCAGGAGGAAGGUGAGGAUGACGUCAAAUCAUCAUGGCUCUUACGCCCAGGGCUAGACACGUGCUACAAUGGUUGGUACAAUGGGAUGCCACACUGCGAAGUGGAGCAAACCCCAAUAAACCAACCUCAGUUCAGAUUGGAGUCUGCAAUUCGACUCCAUGAAGGUGGAAUCGCUAGUAAUCGCGGAUCAGCAUGCCGCGGUGAAUACGUUCCCGGGCAUUGUACACACCGCCCGUCAAGCCAUGAAAGGUGGGAGUGCCCGAAGUCGUGGCUCCAACCGCAAGGGGGAGCGCGCCGAAGG